AUGCUCAUGUCAGGAUCAUAUGUACUAAAUAUGGAGUAAAAUGGAGAAAAUUAACAUGACUUCUGCACAGAGUUGGCACACAAAUUCACAAAAUGUUUCAUAUUUUU